CUGACACCUGCGCAACCAAGAUCACUUCCCUGUGGCUUUUGCAAAGCUAGUGUGGCUGCCUUGAGGCUAAAAGGAGGAAAAUAAAGAACCCACCCACAUUAAUUGCAAGAAAAUUUCAGCCAAUGCCACAAUGAGGAUGACUCACAUUGUCACAUACAAGCUCUUACGGCCUUAUAUAGAGAAAAUGUUUCAUCUCAGUUUCCGGUGUUAAAUGCAAAAGAGCAGGAAGACUUUUGAUCUGUGGCUUGAACCCCCAGUCUCCCAGCUCACUACUGACAUUACGUGGCAUGCUAGAAAGUACAUCAGUUGGACAGAACUGAGUUUGAAUCCUGGCUCUGUUAGAAACCAGCUGUGAACCAGUUACUUAAACUCUCUUAUCUUCAGUUUUCUCAUCAGGAAGAAAAUGGAGUUCUUUUGAAAUCAAAUGAAAUGACGUGCAUGAAAGUACAGAACACAUGGAAGGUGCUUAAUGAGAUAUUAGUUUCCCUUCUCCUACGUCAACCACAGGUAGAAUCUCCUUAACUAUGCUGGAAGCUCUAUAAAGGCAGGGACCGUGCAUAUGGUAUGUGCCACUAUAACACCAAUGCUUAGUAUAAUGGCUGGCCCAUAGUCGGUAUUCAAUAAAUAUUGGUUAAAUACUGAAUGGUUAUAAUGGUUAAUAUCGAGUGUCAACUUGAUUGAAUUGAAGGA